GGGGAGAGAGUUUGGUAAUAUUGUUUUCAGUUACAGCCUCCUCCGUCGAUGCCGCCUUCUUCUCAUGAUUGUCUUCCUCCAACGCCCCAUAUUUAAUUUCAGGCCGCAGCAAUCGGCACUUUCUCCAUUCCCAAAAUAGCUAAAAGAACGAGGCGAGCAACGAAAAAAAAAAAAAAACUGAAAUUUCCGGAAUCCUAAAGACCUCUUGUCCAAUAACCAAAAAUUCUCCCCAUGGCCUGCUUGAAUUCGAUCUUUCCAGGUUACUCGGCUUGAUCCGAAGAGGGGAGCGAUACGUAAUUCCAGUUUAUUGACAGAUAGCAUCAAAAUGAUCGCUUCGACUUUAAUCGCCCAGAUUAAAAAUCUCAAUUUUAUAGGGCAGUGUUGGUCGGUCGUGGUUAAAUUUGAUUGGCAAUUUGGAUGGUAGCAGAUGCACAUUACAUGGAUUGAACAAUUGAAGGCGUGGGAAUUCUGCUGGUGUCUUGGAGACACACAUGUUCAAGUGUUCGGGAAUUGAAGAGAUGGAUAAGAAUCUUCUAGAGUUUGGAAAGUUCUGUGUGCCAGAUGACGUCGAUGAGACCCAUUUCUAAUUUGAAGAAUGGACGGUGAAAUACCCAGUCCUCCAGGUCAGAGAUUUGCGCAAGAUUACAAUUAUUUGGUCGCAGGUGAGGUACCUUCAAACAAGCACUUGAAUAACAUCUCUGUUCGGACUGGCGAGGAGUUCUCCAUGGAUUUCCUUCAAGAUCGAAUCACACCAAGAGGAGCAACAUUUAGACCUGGGAUAGAUCGUGGGCAAAUGAAGAAUGUAGGAUGUAAUAAUUAUCAGAUUUUUCAGGCAGGCUAUGAGGAUCUUGCAGGCAUUCUUGGGCUUGGAAGAACAGACUCUAAUGGUUAUUCUGAUGUUUCUAAUCCUAAUUUGGCUAAAGGGCAUUUGAUGGAUGGCAAGGCUAUGGAACAUAUUGAUAGAACAAGCAAAAUUCAUGGCGACAAUAAUAGGAAAGUGACAGAGAACUGUAUGGAUGAGUGUUCUGAACCUGGUCCUCUUUCUGAGCCCCUUCAAGGUUAUCAGAAUUGCCCUCGUGGACCUGGAGUCGUGGAAAGUCCUCAGUCCAGUAAAGUGAAAUUCCUAUGCAGCUUUGGUGGAAAGAUCUUGCCGAGGCCAGGUGAUGGGAAACUGAGAUAUGUUGGUGGUGAGACACGGAUUAUCUCCAUCAGAAGGAAUCUUUCAUGGAAAGAACUUAUGCAAAAAACCGUGAGCAUUUGCAACCAACCUCACACCAUCAAGUAUCAGCUUCCUGGCGAAGAUCUUGAUGCUCUGAUAUCUGUUUCUACAGAUGAGGAUCUUCAGAAUAUGAUGGAAGAGUACUAUGGGCUUGAAAAGGCUGAUGGAUCUCAGAGACUUAGAUUAUUUCUCAUAUCCCUGAUUGAAUCUGAUAACCCUUCUAUAGAUACUAGAGACUUGCAUAGCAGCUCAGAGUACCAAUAUGUUGUUGCUGUGAAUAACAUACUAGAGCCAGGUCCCAGGAAAAGCUCAAGUGGUAAUAGCUAUUCAAGCCAAAUGGGAUAUCAUUUAGAUAAUUCUCCAAGAUUUCAGAGAGAUUCCCCUUCUUUUCCUCAUUCUGAUGUUAUCAAUGGACUUGCUGCUCCAGAUCAUGCUGGCAUGUUCAUGCAUCUCCCUGGUCCACAGUUCUUUGUUAGUUCUCAAACUGCACCAAAGACCCCCACACAGUCACCUCCUUUUUCUCCAAGGCCAGUUCAGCAGAGAGAUAUGAGACAUUCUAGCAAUCAAUCAUAUGAUGAUCAGUUUAUAGCAGACCGACCACUGGAGAAUUAUCAUGAGAUUGAUGCUAGCUAUUGUCUACAAGGAGUACCAAAGCUGCAUCCUAACAUGCGUAGUGAUGUUGAGAUGCCGACUGUAUCUCAUGGAAUGCCUUCUCAAAAUCAUAAGCACAUCAGGGAUUUUAUUAAUCCACCAUUUACUCGCAAUGACAGUGACUUAGGUUUAUAUCCAUAUUAUGAAAAGCCUCCUCAAACUGAAAGAGCUUUUCAUUCUGACAAAUGCCCCAAUCAGAUAGGAGAUUCACUGAGUUGGAUAUUGGGAUCCAAUGAUUCAAUUGGUCCACCUCAAGGUAUGCCUCAUGCAUAUUCUGAUUCAGUGCUUCAAGAACAAGGUGAAAGGAAUUUGUCUAAUGCAUCAGAAGGAACAACACCCUACAUGGACUUUACAGCAUCACCAUUUUGUCAACAAAUAUGCCAAAAUAACCUGCAGGAAGGAACAACACGAUUCCAUGAAAAUAUAGAUAUCAAUCACCCAAAUCUUUCUGAUAAAUUACAGAGAACCUUGUCCACCAGUCCUCAGGUUAGACCAGAAUUUGCAUAUUCUUCUCAUCAUCCAGAAGUUCGUGGAAGAAAUGAAUCUAAGCACCAAAUUGCCUAUUAUCCUGGUGAAGAACAUCGACGUAAACAAAGAUCUGAUGACCUCAAUUCUGGGUCACAAGACUGUUAUGUGCAACAUUGUUUGGCUGGAGAUGCGGUUACACAGAUGAAUGAGAAAGGAGCUCUUCUUCCUCGGGAUAAGAAACUUUAUCAUGAUGAUUUUAAUGCAACACAAGAGACAUCCAUUUACAAGAGUAAGUUACUUGGCACAAAUUACAACCCUGGUGGUAUGCGUGGUGCUCAUGUUUCUUCCCAGGAGUUAGAAGCAUUAGAAAGUUCUGUUCCUACAUCUUCACUUUUUUCUUCAAAAUCUGAUUCGGAUAAUCUCAAAGUGCAUUCUCCUGGCAACCCAUUUGAUGGAUCGAAGCCAGAAAUUUCCACCAAAAGCUAUGGAAUUGCUAAUAGUCUGCGUGGUGAAUCAUCUGAACCAUUAAAUGAUCAUCUUGCAUGUGAAGGUGGCAAUGUCAUGGCUCUUCCACCUUCUGUUUCAUGGCCAAAGGAUUCUCUAGAAGCUCCACUUCCAAACAAAUUUGCUGAAGACAUUACUCCAGAGUGUUGUGGUGAUAAAACUCCAAAUGACCUAGUUUACGCAUUAUCAAGUGAUCCUGUUUCUCAUCUUCCUCCAGGCACAAUGUCUCAGAAGGAUAACCAAGGAUACAAAGUAUCAGGUUCUACAGCUCCACUUGUUACAGUCGGUGGCAUUGGUCUGAGUCUAAACCUGCAUGCUGAUGACCCUCCGAGUUGGUCUUUCUUUCCAAAUCCAGCCACAGGUAACAUUUUAAAGAAAGAAGUUGUUCUUCUUGAUUGGGACUCCAUUAAUCAUCCUGAUUCAGGCAUCACUGACAUGGAUCAUGAGGGCUGCGGUCUUGAACCAUGGAAAGGAGGAGAGAACAGAUCAAUAUGUAAUGUGCAUAACAAUGUUGCACCGGAGACAGGGGUUAUUAUUGAAGAUGUAACUGACAGUGUUCCUUCAGAUAUCCCAGCAUUCCCAACAAUUGUUCCUCAUGUACUUCAGGAGGCAGUUGAUGAAGUGGAAACUGGUGAAAUCUCCUUGCCAAAAGUGACUGAUGCAGAGAGCAACACUCCGGAGUCUGUUAGUGAGGAUGCAAAAACUGAUGAAAGAGAUAUGGAUGAAUCCAUAAGUGAUGCUGCAAUUGCAGAGAUGGAAGCUGGUAUAUAUGGUUUGCAGAUCAUAAGAAAUGCUGACCUUGAAGAGCUACGUGAAUUGGGAUCUGGUACAUUCGGAACUGUCUUCCAUGGAAAGUGGCGGGGAACAGAUGUUGCAAUUAAGCGGAUUAAGAAAAGUUGCUUUUCAGGGAGAUCAUCUGAACAAGAGCGAUUGACCAAGGAUUUCUGGAGGGAGGCACAGAUCCUGUCAAAUCUUCACCAUCCAAAUGUGGUUGCAUUUUAUGGGGUUGUUCCUGAUGGAGCUGGGGGAACACUGGCCACUGUAACAGAAUUUAUGGUGAAUGGAUCGCUCAGGCAUGUCCUACUAAGGAAGGAUAGGGCACUUGACCGCCGUAAAAGGCUGAUAAUUGCAAUGGAUGCAGCUUUUGGGAUGGAAUACUUGCACUCAAAGAACAUAGUUCAUUUCGAUUUGAAAUGUGACAACUUACUAGUUAACUUGAGAGAUUCCCAAAGACCAAUCUGCAAGGUAGUGCCAGAAAUUGCAAGUCUACUUUGACACUUAUUGAGCAGUCGAUCUGGUUUUGUUCUGCAUUGGCACAUCUGCAGUAUAUAUGAAAUUAAUAAAGAAAAGCAGGGCGAGUGGGGGAAGGUUGGUAGGGACGGGGGUGGGUUGGUUUGUAGUCAGCGUUAAAAAGGAACUAGAGUAGGAGGGCUCAACGAACAAGCGUAGAGCAUAAAUGUGGCUUUGAAAAGAUGCAGCUGGAAAUUUCUAAAUUUUUUCCUGGAAGAAUAUAUGGUUGUGAAGAUAUCGCUGUUUUAGCUUUAAAGUGGUUUCAAAAGAAUAGCUAAUAUUGUUGUCGUCGCUGUUGGAAUCUAAACUUAGAAUUCAAAUAGUUUAUUAGUGAGAAUUUGGAAAUCGCAUUUGCAGGUUGGAGACUUUGGAUUAUCAAGAAUUAAACGCAAUACCUUGGUUUCCGGUGGUGUACGAGGAACCCUUCCUUGGAUGGCACCCGAGUUGUUGAAUGGAAGCAGUAGCCGGGUUUCUGAAAAGGUUGAUGUUUUCUCAUUUGGAAUAGCAAUGUGGGAAAUCCUCACCGGCGAGGAACCCUAUGCAAACAUGCAUUGCGGCGCAAUCAUAGGUAAAUCUGUUUUUAAACUUCCAGAGAAAUAAAGGCUUGCUUAAAUCUUGUUAUCGAGUUAUGGAUGUGCAGGAAAUAAGAGUGUAGAGUAUUUGAUGGGGAUGAUCUCAUUUCUUUCUUUUUUGCAUAUUUUUGGAUCAUGGAGUUUAGGAUAACAUUGCCUACUCUUUCAGGGAAAAGGUAACAUAUAAUGCAGUGAGGAUUUCACAUAAUUCCAAAUUAUUUCUUGUUUUCUUCCUCAUCUCAGAAAAAUGACCUUUGACAGGUAGUAAUCGGAAAGAUUUCCCCUUGUUUUGCUAAAGCAACCUGAAUCAGUAAAUAAAAUAAGUGGCAAAAUUUAUAAAUAGGUGACUCGAGCUGCUCUUACCUCUUUCAUGUAAAUGGUAACCUAAUUUAUAGUACAAUUUUGUCCGCAUGAUGUAUCAUGAAAAGGUGAUUUCUUAGCUGCA